rnacentral:rRNA from 1 species
AGAGUUUGAUCCUGGCUCAGGACGAACGCUGGCGGCGUGCUUAACACAUGCAAGUCGAGCGGUAAGGCCCAGCUUGCUGGGUACACGAGCGGCGAACGGGUGAGUAACACGUGGGUGACCUGCCUUCAGCUCUGGGAUAAGCCUUGGAAACGGGGUCUAAUACCGGAUAUGACCUUUGGUUGCAUGACCGGGGGUGGAAAGUUUUUCGGCUGGAGAUGGGCCCGCGGCCUAUCAGCUUGUUGGUGGGGUGAUGGCCUACCAAGGCGACGACGGGUAGCCGGCCUGAGAGGGCGACCGGCCACACUGGGACUGAGACACGGCCCAGACUCCUACGGGAGGCAGCAGUGGGGAAUAUUGCGCAAUGGGCGGAAGCCUGACGCAGCGACGCCGCGUGGGGGAUGACGGCCUUCGGGUUGUAAACCUCUUUUGCCAUCGACGAAGCCUUUCGGGGUGACGGUAGGUGGAGAAUAAGCACCGGCCAACUACGUGCCAGCAGCCGCGGUAACACGUAGGGUGCGAGCGUUGUCCGGAAUUAUUGGGCGUAAAGAGCUCGUAGGCGGUGUGUCGCGUCGGUCGUGAAAACUUUCAGCUUAACUGGGAGCGUGCGGUCGAUACGGGCAUCACUUGAGUACGGCAGGGGAGACUGGAAUUCCUGGUGUAGCGGUGAAAUGCGCAGAUAUCAGGAGGAACACCGGUGGCGAAGGCGGGUCUCUGGGCCGAUACUGACGCUGAGGAGCGAAAGCGUGGGGAGCGAACAGGAUUAGAUACCCUGGUAGUCCACGCUGUAAACGGUGGGCGCUAGGUGUGGGGGGCCAUUCCACGGUCUCUGUGCCGCAGCUAACGCAUUAAGCGCCCCGCCUGGGGAGUACGGCCGCA